ACCGGCGCCGACAGCUGCGCCAACGGCGAGUAGAGCUCGCGAAGACGCCACAGCUCCACACCGCUCGCGCUCAGAGCGAGCACCGGCCAGCCGGGGCCGGCGGGCGCCAGCAGACGGUUCACGUGCCUGGGUGGCACCGCUCGGCCCCAGCCGCUCAGCGCCACCUCGCCCACCUGUGCUGACGCCUGCAGGUCCCAUGUCCCGGCGCACGUCUACGAGAGCCCAGCUGUGCAGAUCAAAGGUGCAGGUGGCCUGCGCCAUCCAGCACCACGAAGUGUCUGCCCACUGGGUCCUGCGCCACUGAGAGCAGCCCAGACGCCACCGUCAGGUGGCCCAGCGGCUCCAGGCCGUGUGUCAAGCGGGCCACGCUCAGCUCGGCUCUCUUUUCCUGCGGGCCAGGGUCGAGGUCCUGGAUCAGGCUGUCACCUUCUACUGAAAAGGGGUUGCUGGCAUCUGACACUCCAGUCUCCAUUGCGACGCCUGCAGGCCGCUCAACAGCACCCAGGGCCGUUGCUAGGAUACCGGAGGCAGUAGGCCCCGCCUCUGACGCAGACCCCGCCCCACACGCAGCGCAGAGCCUAAGUCCCCACAAAAUCACAGAAAUUUUUUAUUGGAAACAAACCAGCUGCAGCAAAGUGACACUCAGUGCACGCUGCCCAAUGGGCAAGGUAGGGGGGAGGGUGGGACAGGUGGGCGUCAGGGGCUGGCCAAGAUCAGGGGGGUGCCGCAGGGGCCUGCUUACUGGGUCUCUGGGCCCUUUGGACUGGAGUGUGCAGGCCCAGGCCUGAUCCGGCACAAAAUACAAAAAUAAACUCUGUAGUCCAGCU